CUAUCGCCUACAAUCUUCCAUGGGGUCACAGGCUAGGGAGUGUCUCCCCAUCUUUAGAGAGAGCAGUCACGAUCCGAUGGGAACAGUGUGGCCUGGCUGCCGCCCACCCAAGAGCUGAGCAGCAGGUCUGAGUAGCCGACAGCCUAAGUCAGUUGCCACUCUCUCAAGCCGGUCAGGAUUGUGCUCGUCAGUUGACGAAGUUUCUCUUACAAAAGGAACCUCGGCGCUUCCCUAUUUGCCCCAGUAUUUAGAGAAAACAAUCUGAAUGUUUUCAGGCCAUUCUGGAGAGAGGAGCCAAGGGCAUCAGAGCCAAACCCGGACCCCGUUAGAUCGUCAAACCCCUUCUAUUACUCAAGACAGGUGUUUGAUCUCUGAGGAGUGCUUUCAACACAGAAGCCAUUAAAGAUCACAGACAGUAAGAGACACGGGCCCAUGUAAUGACAGGCCAGCAGAUGAAGAGUGGAUGGGCUCAGUCACGAACUUGCUGGGUGACCCUGGGUUCUCCACUUUUAACAACUCAUGGGAUUAGACCAGCCCCCACUGGAUAAUCAGGAUAGCUGCCUCAUCUCUAGGUGCAUAACUCCGAUCAUAUCUGCAAAGUCCCUUUUGCCACCUAAGGUUGGACCACACAUGGAACAUUGAGAUCAGUUUGUGACAUCACAAUACAAGAGGUACUGGCCACCUGGGGGAUUCUGAAAGGGUGGCUGAGCUGCUGAGGCCACAGGGAUCAUCGCACAGGACAGGCUGAGGAAAAUGGAGCGUUCAGCCUGGAGAGAUAAACGGAGAAGAACGCUUGCUCUGGACCUCGGAAAUGAUGCUCCCUGGGAAGAAAGAAUCCUUCUUUCAUGGGAUCCCUGCGAGAUGAUCAGAGCCAGGGGCUACAACCAGGAUACACUUUUGCUUUCAGGAGGGGGACGCCACAGGCAAAACCACUUUGGUUCGACAGAGGCCAUCGAACCAACUUUAAGAGCACUGCGCAUCUGCUUCUGGUAGGAAACCGGAUGAAGAGACCUGCUUUGACUCUGACUUUGCACGGUUGCCAAAGAUGGCCCCACAGCUCUCUUUUCAACAAAUGACUUGUUCUGUUUUGGGGUUUAAUGGCCAAAUGAAAGGAUUGAGGUCAUGUGAGAGAAAGAGAUGUGCCCAAGGUCUCAACACUGGUUGCAAAACUGAAUGUGGAAACCAAGCCUCCCGGUGCUUAGGCCAGGAUUCCUUUUUACUAUCUGUUAAAAUUCUUGAUCAGCACGGUAUCUGCUGAAAAACAAAUACCCAAUUCCUUCUCCUCGCACACCCUGUCUCGAGGGUUCUUCCGACCCUUUAGGUUUUCAGUGUUGCAGGCUCACUGUCUCAGGGG